rnacentral:snRNA from 1 species
ACAGAGUGUGUCUCCGAAAAAAUUGAUACGGUACAGAAAAGAUUAGCAUGCCCCUUGCACAAAAAUAGCAUAUACAAAUAAAAAAAUGGUCUAAAUUUUG